rnacentral:rRNA from 1 species
UAGGGAAUUUUCGUCAAUGGGGGGAACCCUGAACGAGCAAUGCCGCGUGUGUGAAGAAGGUCUUCGGAUCGUAAAGCACUGUUGUAAGUGAAGAAUGCCAUAUAGAGGAAAUGCUAUGUGGGUGACGGUAGCUUACCAGAAAGCCACGGCUAACUACGUGCCAGCAGCCGCGGUAAUACGUAGGUGGCAAGCGUUAUCCGGAAUCAUUGGGCGUAAAGGGUGCGUAGGUGGCACGAUAAGUCUGAAGUAAAAGGCAACAGCUCAACUGUUGUAUGCUUUGGAAACUGUCGAGCUAGAGUGCAGAAGAGGGCGAUGGAAUUCCAUGUGUAGCGGUAAAAUGCGUAGAUAUAUGGAGGAACACCAGUGGCGAAGGCGGCCUGCUGGACUGUAACUGACGUUGAGGCUCGAAAGCGUGGGGAGCAAACAGGAUUAGAUACC